UUUCCCACGAGGUGAGCAUGUGGUUUAAUUUGAAGCAACGCGAAGAACCUUACCAGGCCUUGACAACCGAGACAGCCCUCAAAAGGUGGAGCUACCAAUAGCUCAAAACAAGCAGUGCAUGGCGUCGUCAUCUCGUGCCGUGAGGAUUGGGUUAAGUCCCGCAACGAGGGCAACCCCCAUCUCUAGUUCCAUCAUGUAUCAUGGGACACUAGUGAAGACGCCCGGCAUAAGCCGAAGAAGGGGGGGGGGGUCACGUCUCCUUGGCCCUUACGCCCCGGGGUACACACAUGUUACACUGGGGGGUACAAAAUGGGGCAAAAUGGCGAGAGCAAGACAAACUCUAAAAAACCCUUUCCAUUCCGGUUGGCGUUUGCAAAUUGACCUGCAGAAGGUGAUCGCUAGUAUCCGUACACC
rnacentral:rRNA from 1 species